GUCCCGUAACGAGCGCAACCCUUGUCCUUAGUUACCAGCACGUUAUGGUGGGCACUCUAAGGAGGAACUGCCGGUGGACAAACCGGAGGAAGGUGGGGAUGACGUCAAGUCAUCAUGGCCCUUACGGCCUGGGCUACACACGUGCUACAAUGGUCGGUACAAAGGGUUGCCAAGCCGCGAGGUGGAGCUAAUCCCAUAAAACCGAUCGUAGUCCGGAUCGCAGUCUGCAACUCGACUGCGUGAAGUCGGAAUCGCUAGUAAUCGUGAAUCAGAAUGUCACGGUGAAUACGUUCCCGGGCCUU
rnacentral:rRNA from 1 species